rnacentral:rRNA from 1 species
AUUGAACGCUGGCGGCAGGCCUAACACAUGCAAGUCGAACGAGUGGCGGACGGGUGAGUAAUUUCUGGGAAACUGCCUGAUGGAGGGGGAUAACUACUGGCAACGGUAGCUAAUACCGCAUCCCAUCGGCUGUGCCCAGAUGGGAUUAGCUAGUAGGUGGGGUAACGGCUCACCUAGGCGACGAUCCCUAGCUGGUCUGAGAGGAUGACAAGCAACACUGGAACUGAGACACGGUCCAGACGCCAACGGGAGGAAGCAGUGGGGAAUAUGGGACAAUGGGCGCAAGCCUGAUGCAGCCAUGCGGGGUGUAGGAAGAAGGCCUUCGGGUUGUAAAGUACUUUCAGCGGGGAGGCGUGACCCGCAGAAGAAGCAACGGCUAACUCCGUGCCAGCAGCCGCGGUAAUUC